ACAUGGUCCUCCACCAUCGGCAUUGGCAGGGGGAACCGACACUCCUCCUUGUGGCCCAUUCUACCACAUUGGUAGCAGAACGAUAUCACGUUUCGUAGACAAAGCUCUGCCAAAACACCCUAGAUUGCCUCCGGAUUAGAAUCCUCGAUUUGAGCAUAUCUAGGGCAUUGAUUUCCAGCUUCACCCGAGUGUAUCCUAGCUUCCGCAGUUACUCGGUGAAGUCAUCAAGAGCCAACGAUCAACCGGCCGCCGCCGUGAUCUCCAAGAUCGACGCCCUCUUCUAGUAUUUCAACCGCAGGCAGGGCAGCCGGACCUAAACCAUCGCGGAUCCAUCACCAGCUGUCCGGCCACCAACCACGAACCGCCGACCAGGAUUGUAUCUCGAUCACCCUCAUUCCUAAACCAGAAGACUCGAUGGUCCUCCGCCAGUGAAAACGCCUCCACAUCGUAAUCGAGCCUUCCCGGAGUUUUGAGAUCUUAGGCGACUCACUCAACGGGGAUUCUCCGACCUAAUCUCCGGGAUAAUACCGUCGAUCUCUUCCUCUAAAAUCCGGUGGCUCGUCCAACUGUGUUAUCGGGGAGGCCCUGCACAACACCAGCCCACGUCAUAUUACUCUCUUUUUGCUGUACAGUCUGCCGAUCCUUACCGCCGGAGGACUCCUUCAUUGGCUGCGUCUUGCGAUCACCCAUUGUUCCAUGCCCACCUGCUGUUCGAGGAAAGCCCGCAGAUACCGCACGAAGAUUAAAGCACCCUACCAGAACGACGGCUCAAGGAGCGCACAGUUCGGAAUCUCUCGCAGGGUUUUGCACCCCACCCACGCCCGCCCUCUUUCUCUCUUCUCUCUCUCUUAUUUCUUGACGAGGCAAGAAAUACAAUAGACACGACGUCGACAAGCGCCGCGCCGGCGGCGACUCCAACGACAUCUCCGGGAACGAUGCUUUCGGUCGCCUCUUCGCCGCCGUCGAGGCCGGCAUCGACGCCUCCCUCCAGAAAUCGGAGAUGGCGUCGCAGGAAAAGAAAAGGACGGCAGCGGUGGCCGUGAACACCGAGAUCCAGCGGACCAACGCCCGGUUGCUCGUGGAAGUCCCAGAGCUGCAGAGACUGGCCGGUGGAAUGAAGAAGGCACUGGGUUGGUUUGUCUUGAUCGGUCUGGAAUGAAGAGAGACGGACAGAAGAUGGCGAGGGUGAAAUUCCAAAAAGAAUAGGAUAAAACAUGGUUUCUAAGCCAACUCCUAACAUUUCAUAGUCUCUUAGGGUGCUUGUAGGUUGUAGCACGAAGAACAAAAUACAAAAUUACCAUUGUAUGAUUGACAUUGUUUUGUUGAUAAUAUUAUUUGCUACUUUAGAGUAUUGAGAAAUAGUAAUUUGUUUCAACAAAACAACACGUGUAGAUCGAUCCAAGUUGGGUAGUCUUCACUAGAGUUGGCUGUCAGGUGGAUUGGUCUAUGUGAAUACUCAAUUCGUUGUCCAGCUUUGGAUGCUGAACUCUUCUGCAGGUACAUUGAAUAGAAUUGUUCGGACAAUGGGAUGAGGUGUAUAUCUGAAUGAGGUUGAGUUGAAUUUAGCUAUUUGACCAUGUUCCUUGCAAGACUUACAAAGUCAGCAACUCGCUAUAGCUAUAUAGGAUCAUGAGGUGAUCUUCUUCAAUUACUUCCUAGAUGUAUUUGAUACAAAUUUCAUUUUUCACCCUUAAAUGCGUCUUGGAGAAGUAUCUUACACAUUCUCAUGUCGUAUUUUAUCCUUUCUAAAGCUGUUUUUGUUUGGAGGGUGAGCUGGGCUACUUUGAAUACUUGUCAUGAGUUUUGUCGAAUGAGUAACUUUAAGCGUAACUGGAAACAAUUAAGCUGUUAUAGGUUAAGCAUCUCUCCUUUCAAUAUGCAGUUUAGUCUCUUCGUCUUGGCAUCAUCAACAACCAGAAGCACUAAGCUUAUACCUAUCUGUAUGGGUUGGCUAAGAUCAAGGCAUAAAACAUCAAAGUUUACGGAAAUUUUGCAACUCGUUCGCAACCUGACCAACCCUCUGAGUUGGUGGCAGAAUCUUCUUAAAAGGCAUCUUUAGACGAUGUAAGGACUUACUACAAAUCUUAAAAGCCAUUUGUCAUUUGGGAAGUAGGGGAAUCUACCUUCUUGGUCACAUAGAUUAAGCUAGAGGAAUCAGGAAGAUGGUUCAUUUGAACAUGAAAAAAGUCUAUAUUUUUAAGAAAGAAUACAAGAUUUGCUGCAAGAAACCACAUUCAUCUUUGAGGCACAGAUUGCAAGCUAAGCCAGUCCCUUCCCCUCAGGGGAAAAAAAAUCCCAGCCAUGCACCAUUGUAAGUUAUAAAUUGAUAAUCCUAUUUUGUAGACAACUUUCAGACAAUGGUCUUUGCAUGAUCACCCGGGAUCGUGAAAUAUACUAUUUUCAAGUGUGGCAAUAUUGCAUCUGUACAUGAUAAUUAGUUAAUCAAAACUAGAUGUCCAUUAAAUCCAAAAUAAUUUAUCUAUUCUCAGUGUCCCUGGGCAAGUUUCUGUAAUAGAUAUUAUGCCAUGCCCAUAUCAUAACCCAACCUAAAAUUUUAGACAAGUUUCCACUUUCCUAGUAGUGUCAACCAAACUAGAAGUGGGAUUUUUGCUU